rnacentral:rRNA from 1 species
GACGAACCGUCCGAACGUUAUUCGGAAUCACUGGGCUUAAAGCGUGCGUAGGUGGUUCGUUAAGUCUGAUGUGAAAGCCCUGGGCUCAACCUGGGAAUGGCAUUGGAAACUGGCGACCUAGAGUGCGGUAGAGGGGAGUGGAAUUCCCGGUGUAGCAGUGAAAUGCGUAGAUAUCUGGAGGAACACCGGUGGCGAAGGCGGCGCUCUGGACUGCAACUGACACUGAGGAACGAAAGCCAGGGGAGCAAACGGG